GACGAACGCUGGCGGCGUGCCUAAUACAUGCAAGUAGAACGCUGAAGGAGGAGCUUGCUUCUCUGGAUGAGUUGCGAACGGGUGAGUAACGCGUAGGUAACCUGCCUGGUAGCGGGGGAUAACUAUUGGAAACGAUAGCUAAUACCGCAUAACAGUAGAUAUCGCAUGAUAUCUACUUGAAGGGUGCAAUUGCAUCACUACCAGAUGGACCUGCGUUGUAUUAGCUAGUUGGUGAGGUAACGGCUCACCAAGGCGACGAUACAUAGCCGACCUGAGAGGGUGAUCGGCCACACUGGGACUGAGACACGGCCCAGACUCCUACGGGAGGCAGCAGUAGGGAAUCUUCGGCAAUGGACGGAAGUCUGACCGAGCAACGCCGCGUGAGUGAAGAAGGUUUUCGGAUCGUAAAGCUCUGUUGUAAGAGAAGAACGAGUGUGAGAGUGGAAAGUUCACACUGUGACGGUAUCUUACCAGAAAGGGACGGCUAACUACGUG
rnacentral:rRNA from 1 species